UACGUAGGGUGCGAGCGUUAAUCGGAAUUACUGGGCGUAAAGCGUGCGCAGGCGGUUUUGUAAGUCUGUCGUGAAAUCCCCGGGCUCAACCUGGGAAUGGCGAUGGAGACUGCAAGGCUAGAGUUUGGCAGAGGGGGGUAGAAUUCCACGUGUAGCAGUGAAAUGCGUAGAUAUGUGGAGGAACACCGAUGGCGAAGGCAGCCCCCUGGGUCAAGACUGACGCUCAUGCACGAAAGCGUGGGGAGCAAACAGG
rnacentral:rRNA from 1 species